GUGGGAGAUAGGGGGAUCGCAUAUAUUAUCGUUUGAUCGCAUUCACCUGGUGUUUAAUUUUGACCUCUUUAACAACAGCGGGUGCGGUUGUUGCAGCGUUGGGUGGAAAUCUUCAAGUUUUCUAGGGUUUAAUUCAAGCAGCCCUAAUGGGGUCGCACCCACCAACAGGUUUAAGCGAGUCAGAGUAGUUUGUCCCUCUGCAUAUGCAUUUGAUUCUUCUUCGGAGAUAGAAGAUUAAGAUGCAUUUGAGAGAUAUUUCUUUCAGCGGAAGAAAUACUUUACAGAUGUUGGGAGUACCAUAAUUUUGGUCUCUCGUCUUUUGAGCAAUCACACAUGGAAAGUGCUUAUAUUCAUGCGUUGACUGAUAGACAAAUGGUACCCCAUGAAACUAAUGUUUAUUUCAUGGAUCUUUGGCAAGGACGCUUAAGUAAGAAUUCUUUAAUCUUAAAUAGUAAAUGAAAUCUGUGACAGCCGUAGUACCACCCAACACUUUUUUCUAAUGAUAUAUAGAUUGCGCUCCUGUGCACUUGAGCUCUGAUUUAUCUUUUUUGUUCUAAUAGUAGCUAGUAGCUGGGGGUCUCACUGGAAGCAGCUUCUCUAUUCCUAUGGUGUAGAGGUAAAGCUGUCUACGUCUUACCCUCCUCAGACCCUACCUUAGUUUUGCUAUUGGUGAGAUUUACUGUGAGUAUGAUGAUGAUGGGGGGGGGGGGAAGAAGAAGAAACGGUUUGUAGUGACAGCCGACAUGGAUACGAACAAGGUUUGUAUGGCAGAAGUGUGGCAGGCGAGACGAUGAUUACUUUGGGAGCCAGGGGUGACGACAAGAGCUUAUUUCAUGAUUCAGCAGCAAAGUUGAAGGGAAGGAAAGUUCAAUUUGAUUCUAUCAAACUCCGAAGAUGAAGAUGAUGAGAGGACGAGAUGGAAUUUUGAUUUUUGUCAACCGUGGUUGCGUUCUUUAUGAACCAAAGUAAAGACAUCGCCGCAUCUUCGUCAAUAAGGUGGUGCCAUGACAUUGGUGGUGAGCAUGCUACAAAUAAGCCUUUGAUAAAAACCGUUUUCUAGCUACGAAGAGAAGGAUGAACAGUUCAAAGAACAGGUGAAGAUGAUCGAAGUGAGUAGGA
rnacentral:lncRNA from 1 species